GAAGUGAUGCCGCUUCCGGGGCUAUGGGAAUACGGCCCGGUGCGGUGAUGGUGGGUAAAUCUCCGGCCUUUGCACAGGCGGGAGUUUCAUCUGGCGGUCGGCGUCUGAGGGUUGCCUCCCUCAGGCGCCGCCG
rnacentral:ncRNA from 1 species